rnacentral:tRNA from 1 species
CUGUUAGCUUUUACAUUCAAACUUCGAACUUGAAUCCUCAUGCUUUGAGCUAAGCUG